CACGUAGGGCGCGAGCGUUGUCCGGAAUUAUUGGGCGUAAAGAGCUCGUAGGCGGCCUGUUGCGUCCGCUGUGAAAGCCCCGGGGCUUUAACCCCGGGUCGGCAGUGGAUACGGGCAGGCUAGAGGUAGGUAGGGGAGAAUGGAAUUCCCGGUGUAGCGGUGAAAUGCGCAGAUAUCAGGAAGAACACCCGUGGCUAAGGCGGCUCUCUAGUACGGUACUGACGCUGAGACGCGAAAGCGUGGGGAGCGAACAGG
rnacentral:rRNA from 1 species